CUCACAGAGGGAGUCUGCGGGCUGCACCUGGAUCUGUGUCAGCUCCCGAGUCACACCCUUGGCCUCUGAAUUUGCAUUUCUGAUAUAAAUCCUUGGUAUGAGAUGAAGUCACCAGGGAGGUGCGUGGAAUGGGAUGAGAAGAAAGGAGGACAGAACAUUGCGGAAGACUAGCAGAUGAAGCUGAACACCUAAAGGAAAUGGUGAAUGAGCAGAGAGAGGGAGUUGGAAGGAAAAGGAAUCUUGGUCAUGGAAGUGAAAUUAUCAGAGAGUUUCCCAUAGCUUUAAAAGCAGACGAGUACAGAUUUGGUUCUCUGGAAUUCGACUGCAGCCAGUUUUCAUCACUUCUCUCCCAGCACUUCCUUCUGGAUUCUCUAUUUCGCAGCUGCUAGCUUUGCUGCUUCAUUCGUGCCUCUCUGACCACCGGACGUGCCUGUUGCAGGGUGUUGGGGAAGACCAUGGCUCUGGUGCUGGGCUGCAUGAGUGUGAAUAUUGGCUCCAAAACCCAAGGAGUCUGUGAUCUCAGCAGGGUAAGCUAGACACGCCGAGAGGGUUUUCACACCUGGGCCACUUUCUCAGCCUGUCACCCUCUGCUUUGGGGUCACAAGGAAGCCCGCUCCAGGUGCCUCCUUUCCUGGCUGGCCUUCCACUGUCUCCAGGCACAGGCAGGGAAAAUAGCUUGCGGGCAGCCCCAGCGGCAGACCUGCAUUCCGGGAGAUGGAAGGGUGAGUUCCUACCCUGCAGUCCCCAACAUGGGGCAGGACCCACCGUAAACAUUUGUUGAGUGAAUAACUGGCUGAUUGAAUGAUUUUGGUGAACCUAAGGUUCUUGUCAUCUGACUUUGACAUAUAUUCAUCCUGGAAGGCUCAUCUCUUUACCCUUUGCACAAGCCUCCUUGAUUGUUAUCUACAGUUCAUCUUUCCCAGGGAGACGGUUCAAUUAAGACACCUCAAAAUGAGCCCAUGAUUCGAAGGUACAGCUGACUGCACUCUGAUUAACUUCCUAUUCAUCAGUCACGGAGAUAUAUGAUGGGAAUUACCAGGGCAGGCGGAAGGCA